rnacentral:lncRNA from 1 species
AGUCAGUGCUUCUUCAUUGCAGAUAUUUAGUAAGUAUUUAGUUAAAUGGGAACUAUGACUUUAUGAUUGUUUAUCCUUUCCGUGCUUAUUGACCCCCAGUAUUUGUCAGGAAGGUGGACAGGAGUCCAGAAAGAGGGGCCGAGCUUCUGCUUUAAUGAACGCCUGAUGUGUGUGGACCAGCAUCGGAACGGAAGGUUAUGAAGGGGUGCGAGGCAUGGGGCGAGGCCCGUGGAGCGCUCUGAGCUGGAGGUGCAGCUCUGGCCCACAGGCCGCGCCUGCGCAGCAGAUAAAUAUUUAACAACGCGCCCUGGAAGGAGGAGCCCUGACUGCAGCGCUCCAAGUUCUGCGGUGCAGUGUUCCUACCAGUGCUGCCAGUGGGGCGUUACCAGAGAUGCAGGAGCAGCUCUACUUCCGGCCACCUCCGGCCACCAGUGUGGCAGCCAGGGGGCUGUGAGACUGCGGAGGGCUUCUGGGACAGCGGCCCUGCUGAGUCUGAAAGCACUGCAUUCCUUCUGUGUGCCUGCUACUGCGUGCUUUUCAUACUUCUCAACCUCAUAUACCAACUUUUUUCUUUUCACUGUGUGAAGAACACAAAAAUCCUCAAAGUCACCAGAGUAUCACUGGUAUGAGCUGUUUCCCCUCUGCUGCGACACCCUGCCUCAGAGCCGGCCGCCUAUGGACUGAAACCUCUGCACACUGUGAGCCAAAAUAGACCUCUCCUCCUUUAACUUGUGUCAGGAAGUGCAUCCCAGCAACAAGGAAGUGACUAAGACGAUCCUCAUCGACAAUUAAAGGAGAAGCUUAUAGAAAGGUUAAAAUGGAAAGUGCUAUCUUUCCAGAUCCUGCUGUGCUGGUGAGGGAGGAAGAUCUUGUGAUCAGACAUUGUGCAGUCCUAGUGUGGGUAUCAGCUUUCCCGGAGGCAAAGGGUCAGUCUUCACCUGCUGCCUUGCUUUCUCUGCUGCUGUGUACCCAUUGCUCCUACAGAGGGCCUGGACUGAAGGACCCUAGUUAGCAAGACAGACUCCCUAUUGCUGCUGAGCGACCCACCUGCCUGGCCUUUAGAUGAACUCAAAAGGAGGAAGCUUAGGAACCUCCUCCCCUUAGAGAGUCUCUUAGAAACAACAAUUAAUCAACUAUUGUUUUACAGAUGUUCUAAAGACAGGAUGUUCCGCUUCUGUACCUUUUGCUUGCUUUGCUAGUUCUGUCCCAUAGUGGGGACUAGAAACUGCUGGCCUCAAAGGUAUAUAAAAUAUGUUAAUCUCUCCCAGUCUGGGCUCAAGUCUGAUGCUCGGCUCAGUCCUGGCAGGUAAUAAACUCCUGUGUGGAUUUAAUAUCGGUCUCUGGUUGGUUCUUUCUCACUGGUUGCAACAUGGACCACAAGGGUGGGCCU